GGCUGGUACGAUGGAUCGGCACCGGGCACCGAGGCUCUGCUGACCGCUCGUCUCUAAUUCUUGCCUGACACAGACAUUCCCUGCCCAGGGAACUGUUUGAUUUAUGUUGAGGUUUCAGUGUGGGGAUUCUGCUGACAGGAACCAGCCAGAACAGGAGGCAGCCAGAGAGAGCCGUGCCAGGAAGAAUGUGGCCGCCGUCCUGGAAGGAGAGGACCCACUGAGAAGAACAGAACCCAGCCGGCUCAGCCCCUGAGGCUCACUCUCUCCAGGGACCUGGCCUCGGGCCCUAGUAGCCUACCUCCUACCACUGUGGGCCAUCACCAGCCCACUUCAGAAAAAGGCCAUUAAACCAGAUACUGCCCACUUCUAAAUAAAAGAGAGCUUCAAGUAAAAAUUCCACAUAUAAGUGAUACUUAUAUGCAGAGUACAUCAUGAGAAACACUGGG